AACGCGACGGCUGCCGAGAUCCGCGGCGCUCAGCCCCAGCCUCGCCGCCGCCGCCUUGGAUAGCCGGGGCACGUACGCCUAGAUUAGGGUGGGGGAUGUUCGGGAUGCGGGCGAGCGGCGCGGGGAUGGGCACCUGUACGACGACCCGGAUGCCGUCGCCGUCCUGGCGCUCCUCGACUCCCCGCUUCGACGGCGAUAAGUCGACGCGCUCAAGCAUCGCGCAUGGCGUCUACGCUGACCACGUCUCCCGGCAGGUGGUCAGGAACGUCUCGCGUAGUCGCUUGAGGUGAAGAAGCUCGUCUAACUCUACCCUGCUCCACUACGCCAAGAAAAAUGUUAUUUUCAGGAAGAUUCAAGGGAUUCGAGUAGUGACCAGAAGCAUUGAAGAUUUUGCUAAGCAAGGCAAGCAACCUACUUUGAUCAUGGUGGACCCAUAUUUGCAUACACACUUUAUUAUUAUUUUUCAUGCAUAAAGUAUUGUUUGCUAUUAUUAUUGCCAUGGUAAGUAAAUUAGCCAGGGUUUAGCUAUGACCUAUGUGCUUGAUAUUGACAACCCCUUCUACAUACCCACUGGCCACAAAUAAAUGUGUCACAGGUGCAAGUUUAAUACUCCCUCUGGUCCAUAUUAGUUGUCGUUGAUUUAGUACAAGGAUGGGAGGGAGUAGUAAUCUUUGGCUAGUCAUAGGACUUGGGAAUAGUAUAUGUUACUACCUUCAUAAUGGGUAGUAAAAUAUGUGUGGUAUCAUGCAAGUCUUCAUUUAUUUAGAUGUAGAGUCAUUUUGCCUUGGAUUGCGUUAUGUUACGGCAAACACCUUUCUCCUCAUUAACCACUUGCCACAUAUAGCUAAGUUACUCUCCCACUAUGACCAACCUUAGCCUACUAGUCACAUAAAUCAUAGGACUUGGGAAUAAUCUUUGUUGCUCAUAACAAAUGUAUUAACAAACCAAGGGUGCCACUAACGCCCAUGGGAUGAUUCUCAAAACAAGCUUUUACAUAAUGGAGAUUAAGUGGGGAUGUUAUCAAAAGGCAAAGU